rnacentral:rRNA from 1 species
UACGUAGGGUGCAAGCGUUUAUCCGGAAUUAUUGGGCGUAAAGAGCUCGUAGGCGGUUUGUCGCGUCUGCUGUGAAAACCGGAGGCUCAACCUCCGGCCUGCAGUGGGUACGGGCAAACUAGAGUGCGGUAGGGGAGAUUGGAAUUCCUGGUGUAGCGGUGGAAUGCGCAGAUAUCAGGAGGAACACCGAUGGCGAAGGCAGAUCUCUGGGCCGUAACUGACGCUGAGGAGCGAAAGCGUGGGGGAGCGAACAGG